CUCUUGGUCCAUUUGAGGAAGUAAAAGUCGUAACAAGGUCUCCGUUGGUGAACCAGCGGAGGGAUCAUUACCGAGUUUACAACUCCCAAACCCCUGUGAACAUACCACUUGUUGCCUCGGCGGAUCAGCCCGCUCCCGGUAAAACGGGACGGCCCGCCAGAGGACCCCUAAACUCUGUUUCUAUAUGUAACUUCUGAGUAAAACCAUAAAUAAAUCAAAACUUUCAACAACGGAUCUCUUGGUUCUGGCAUCGAUGAAGAACGCAGCAAAAUGCGAUAAGUAAUGUGAAUUGCAGAAUUCAGUGAAUCAUCGAAUCUUUGAACGCACAUUGCGCCCGCCAGUAUUCUGGCGGGCAUGCCUGUUCGAGCGUCAUUUCAACCCUCAAGCACAGCUUGGUGUUGGGACUCGCGUUAAUUCGCGUUCCUCAAAUUGAUUGGCGGUCACGUCGAGCUUCCAUAGCGUAGUAGUAAAACCCUCGUUACUGGUAAUCGUCGCGGCCACGCCGUUAAACCCCAACUUCUGAAUGUUGACCUCGGAUCAGGUAGGAAUACCCGCUGAACUUAAGCAUAUCUAAACCGGGAAGAAAGGAAA
rnacentral:rRNA from 1 species